rnacentral:rRNA from 1 species
CCAGACUCCUACGGGAGGCAGCAGUGGGGAAUAUUGCACAAUGGGGGAAACCCUGAUGCAGCGACGCCGCGUGAGUGGAGAAGUAUUUCGGUAUGUAAAGCUCUAUCAGCAGGGAAGAAAAUGACGGUACCUGAUUAAGAAGCCCCGGCUAACUACGUGCCAGCAGCCGCGGUAAUACGUAGGGGGCAAGCGUUAUCCGGAUUUACUGGGUGUAAAGGGAGCGUAGGCGGAAUGCCAAGUCAGCGGUAAAAUCGCGGGGCUCAACCUCGCUCCGCCGUUGAAACUGGCGUUCUUGAGUGGGCGAGAAGUAUGCGGAAUGCGUGGUGUAGCGGUGAAAUGCAUAGAUAUCACGCAGAACUCCGAUUGCGAAGGCAGCAUACCGGCGCCCAACUGACGCUGAAGCACGAAAGCGUGGGUAUCGAACAGGAUUAGAUACCCCCGUACCU